rfam:Kytococcus sp. CTA-901 NODE_24_length_17062_cov_269.034_ID_51, whole genome shotgun sequence.
GACUUUCUUCGCGGGGGAGCUCGACCCCCGCAACCGAUGAUCAUGGGGUUCAUCGAUCAGAUGCGCGCCGAGGGGCAUGCGGUCGAGUCGGUCUGCAGGGUGCUCCGCCAGGAGGGCUGCCAGAUCGCCGCA